UCCGGCUUAUCACCGGCAGUCCCUCUAGAGUGCCCAACUCAAUGCUGGCAACUAAAGGCGAGGGUUGCGCUCGUUGCGGGACUUAACCCAACAUCUCACGACACGAGCUGACGACAGCCAUGCAGCACCUGUGUCCUAGUUCCCGAAGGCACCAAUCCAUCUCUGGAAAGUUCUCGACAUGUCAAGGCCAGGUAAGGUUCUUCGCGUUGCAUCGAAUUAAGCCACAUACUCCACCGCUUGUGCAGGCCCCCGUCAAUUUCUUUGAGUUUUAAUCUUGCGACCGUACUCCCCAGGCGGUGCGUUUAUCGCGUUAGCUUCGCCACGGAAGGGGUCGAUUCCUCCCACAGCAAACGCACACCGUUUAGGGCUAGGACUAC
rnacentral:misc_RNA from 1 species